UACGUAGGGGGCAAGCGUUGUCCGGAUUUAUUGGGCGUAAAGAGCGUGUAGGCGGCUAGAUAGGUCCGUUGUGAAACCUGGAGCUCAACCUCCAGCUGUCGAUGGAAACCAUCUGGCUAGAGUCCGGAAGAGGAGAGUGGAAUUCCGGGUGUAGCGGUGGAAUGCGUAGAGAUCCGGAAGAACACCGGUGGCGAAGGCAGUCUGCUGGGCAGUUGCUGACACUGAGGCGCGGACAGCGUGGGGAGCAAACAGG
rnacentral:rRNA from 1 species